rnacentral:rRNA from 1 species
GGGCCCGCACAAGCGGUGGAGUAUGUGGUUUAAUUCGACGCAACGCGAAGAACCUUACCAGCUCUUGACAUGUCCAUUAUGGGUCUGAGAGAUCAGAUCCUUCGGUUCGGCCGGGUGGAACACAGGUGCUGCAUGGCUGUCGUCAGCUCGUGUCGUGAGAUGUUGGGUUAAGUCCCGCAACGAGCGCAACCCUCAUCCUUAGUUGCUACCAGGUUAUGCUGGGCACUCUAAGGAAACUGCCGGUGAUAAGCCGGAGGAAGGCGGGGAUGACGUCAAGUCCUCAUGGCCCUUACGGGCUGGGCUACACACGUACUACAAUGGUGGUGACAGUGGGAUGCGAAAGCGCGAGCCGGAGCCAAUCCCCAAAAGCCAUCUCAGUUCAGAUUGUACUCUGCAACUCGAGUGCAUGAAGUUGGAAUCGCUAGUAAUCGUGGAUCAGCAUGCCACGGUGAAUACGUUCCCGGGCCUU